AUUGAACGCUGGCGGCAGGCCUAACACAUGCAAGUCGAGCGAGAAAGGUCUUCGGACUGAGUACAGCGGCGGACGGGUGAGCAAAGCGUAGGAAUCUACCUGGUAGUGGGGGAUAACUUGGGGAAACUCAAACUAAUACCGCAUACGCCCUACGGGGAAAGCGGGGGACCGUUCGGGCCUCGCGCUAUCAGAUGAGCCUGCGUAGGAUUAGCUAGUUGGUGAGGUAAAGGCUCACCAAGGCGACGAUCCUUAGCUGGUCUGAGAGGAUGAUCAGCCACACUGGGACUGAGACACGGCCCAGACUCCUACGGGAGGCAGCAGUGGGGAAUAUUGCGCAAUGGGCGAAAGCCUGACGCAGCCAUGCCGCGUGUGUGAAGAAGGCCUUAGGGUUGUAAAGCACUUUCAAUUGGGAAGAAAGUUGGUCGUUAAUAGCGGCCAGCCCUGACAUUACCUUUAGAAGAAGGACCGGCUAACUCCGUGCCAGCAGCCGCGGUAAUGUCGUACG
rnacentral:rRNA from 1 species